AUGAACGCUGGCGGCGUGCCUAAUACCUGCAAGUCGAGCGAACAGACGAGGAGCUUGCUCCUCUUACGUUAGCGGCGGACGGGUGAGUAACACGUGGAUAACCUACCUAUAAGACUGGGAUAACUUCGGGAAACCGGAGCUAAUACCGGAUAAUAUAUUGAACCGCAUGGUUCAAUAGUGAAAGACGGUUUUGCUGUCACUUAUAGAUGGAUCCGCGCCGCAUUAGCUAGUUGGUAAGGUAACGGCUUACCAAGGCAACGAUGCGUAGCCGACCUGAGAGGGUGAUCGGCCACACUGGAACUGAGACACGGUCCAGACUCCUACGGGAGGCAGCAGUAGGGAAUCUUCCGCAAUGGGCGAAAGCUUGACGGAGCAACGCCGCGUGAGUGAUGAAGGUCUUCGGAUCGUAAAACUCUGUUAUUAGGGAAGAACAAAUGUGUAAGUAACUAUGCACGUCUUGACGGUACCUAAUCAGAAAGCCACGGCUAACUACGUG
rnacentral:rRNA from 1 species